rnacentral:rRNA from 1 species
UACGGAGGGGGCUAGCGUUGUUCGGAAUUACUGGGCGUAAAGCGCACGUAGGCGGCUUUGUAAGUUAGAGGUGAAAGCCCAGGGCUUAACCCUGGAAUUGCCUUUAAGACUGCAUCGCUAGAAUUGUGGAGAGGUAGGUGGAAUUCCGAGUGUAGAGGUGAAAUUCGUAGAUAUUCGGAAGAACACCAGUGGCGAAGGCGACUUACUGGACACAUAUUGACGCUGAGGUGCGAAAGCGUGGGGAGCAAACAGG